AAACUGAAAACAAACUUUUAAAAAUAGUUUAUAUAUUUAUAUAAUAUCGAUAUUGGCAACCCUGCGUUGUGAGAGAGCAAUCAGCUGCGACGUUUGCAACGGCAAAAAUCCAAAUGUCGCGGAUUCUCACGUCAUCGUCACGUCAGAGAGAAGGGAGUAGCGUUUUUCACUGUUCAGUUACAUUGCGCACCCAUAAGAUAGGUCGUGCCAGCUGACACGACCGACGAUUCUGCUUUGUUCACUGUCUAGCCUAUAACUAUAAUGUGCAUACGCUGCCGUAUGUUACAGUCAAAAAAUGAACGAAGAGCCUGUCAAAUGCAUAACGAACGGAGAGUAGACAUUUGAAUGACAAUAAUGUGCUUACAUGCAGAAGAAGAAAGGGUCAAUAAGCAAUUUGUGUUUUGGUUUUGUUUCGUUUGGAUUUUGCAAAAAUGAACAGAAAAUUAAAAUAUUUAAAAACAAUUAAAAUUCUUAAUUCGGUUUUAGACGGAAUACGCAUAUUGACAGAAAUUAGUGAAAUUACAAAUAAAAGAGUUCGGUCGUGUUCAGUGAAGGAAAUAAACAGAAAGAGGAAGAAGGAUGUUUUUUUGUACGAUUCCUGGAAAUGAAGAGGAUUGACCACACUGAUUUUUUUAUAUACACGCGAAUGACGCCACAAGUAUAUGGACUUUUGCUUACUCUCGUUGAGCCCUUUUUAAAAAAGAAUUCGUUGAGAGAGCCUGUGCAACCGGAAUGUCGAUUAGCUUUGACAUUACAAUAUUUAUCACAAGGAACUUCGUUUCAAUCGCUGGCAUGGUCAUUUCAACUGGGAAAGGAAACGGUUAGGCGCAUUAUUCUGGAGACAACUGAGGUCCUUUGGACGAAGUUAAGCGCUAUUUAUGUAUCUGAACCUAAUAAAGAAGAUUUCAAGCAAAUUUCUCAAGACUUCUGGGAACUGUGGAAUAUGCCCAAAUGUGUUGUAUCUAUUGAUGGGAAGCAUAUCGCUAUUCGAGUGGUGGUCAAUUUUUCUGCUACAAAAAAUUUUUUCUAUUGUGUUGUUAGCAGUAUGUGAUGCACGAUAUCGGUUUACCUAUAUAGAUAUUGGUGCAUAUGGAAGUCAGAGUGAUGGUGGCAUUUUUCAAGUGAGUCGAUUGGGAAAGAGGUUGCUAAAUCACAAACUUCCCAUCCCUCCAGCGAAAAACUUACCAAUACGCAACUAAAAACUCCACACUUCUUCGUUGGUGAUGCUGCCUUUCCUUUAGGGAUAAAUUUAAUGCGCCCAUACCCUGGGGGAAUGUUACCAAAUGAAAAAGAGGUGUUUAAUAAAAGGUUAUCAAGAGCUCGUCGCACAAUUGAAAACUCUUUUGGAAUACUAGUAGCGCCUUGGCGAGUUUUAAUAACAACAUUACAUUUAUUUCCGGAAAAUGCAGAAAAAAUUGUUUUGGCGUGCGCUGCCUUACAUAAUUUUAUUAUGUUUAAUAAUGAAAAUGCAUCUUCGUAUAUUGCAAGCAACUAUGCUGAUUGGGAGGACUCUAAUGGUGAUUUUCAUGACGGUUUAUGGCGUAGAGAAAUUGAAAGUAAUAUCCCAUCGAUUAUGCAAUCUUCCAAUUUGCAUCAUUACGGUGGAAGAAGUUCUUUGGAAAUUAGAAAUAACUUAUGCAGUUUUUUUUAACACUUUUUAAAACAUAUUCUAAAAUCACAUAUCUAACACAAUUUCGAACUUGUUUAUUUCUUUUUUAAUAAAACUAAAUGGGGUUUAAUUAAAUUCAUUCAAUUGUUGUUAUUAAAUUACUCAAAAGAGUUCAGGUACAUGCAUUUUAUGCAUCUUUUUAUAAUAAAUAUAUUUGUUAUAAUAAAUAUAAAGUAUACUAAAAAAAAUCAAUGCUCCAAGCUUUUUAAAAAAUACGGAAAUUAGGUUAAACGACAAGAACGUUUUUAAUUUCAUGUUUGCCUAUUUUCGCGACGUAAGCGAUAUAAUUCCAAUAUCAUUUUUUCUUGGAAACCGUCAUUGACCGACACUGGCAGGUCUUGCAUCAGACACAAAACCGUCGUCAUAAAGGCCUCAUCAGUUUCACAUCUUUCAGCCGGCGCCGCCAUCUGCUUUUCUAAGUUCUCCAUUGUUGCGCCAAGUUUCUGGUAGAGACUUUCUAAGUUGAGACUUUUAUUUUUCUUCCGAGGUGGCGAUGAAAUUUCAUUAAAACUAUCAUUCAAUGAUGACUCCAAGACUGAGUCUGUAUUUGGUUCUGCAUUAUCACGAGUGCUGUACAAUGAAAAAGUUAUAUUUAAAAACAUUCAAAUUUAUACAAAGUACCUACCGACGCAGUGUAACGGAGUCUUUUAGAAACAUCAGGGGUUUUAAAAAACGUCAUUCCUCUAAGUACAUAGCUCAUUCCGCUAAAGGAGCUCUGGGCAACCAGAGCUGAGUAUUAUUUUAUAACCCAAACCUUUACUUUAUGA